GGUGGAUGCCUUGGCACUAAGAGCCGAUGAAGGACGUGAUAAGCUGCGAAAAGCUUCGGGGAGGAGCAAAUAUCCAUUGAUCCGGAGAUAUCCGAAUGGGGAAACCCGGCAGAGAAGACCUCUGUCAUCCAUACGCCAAUCCAUAACGUAUGGAAGGGAACCCGGUGAACUGAAACAUCUAAGUAGCCGGAGGAAAAGAAAGAAACAUCGAUUCUGGGAGUAGCGGCGAGCGAAACCGGAGGAGCCUAAACCAGCGUGCGUGCAUGCUGGGGUUAAGGACUGCAACAAGUGACCGGAAGGUUAACAGAAUGGUUUUGGGAAAGCCAGCCAUAGAGGGUGAAAGCCCCGUAUGUGAAAACCGGAAGGAGCGGCAGGAUCCAGAGUACUACGAGACACGUGGAACCUUGUAGGAAAUCGGGGGGACCACCCCCCAAGGCUAAAUACUCCUUAGUGACCGAUAGCGCAUAGUACUGUGAAGGAAAGGUGAAAAGGACCCCGGGAGGGGAGUGAAAGAGAACCUGAAACCCUGUGUUUACAAGCUGUGGAACAUCAUUAUUCGAUGAACCGCGUACUUUUUGUAGAACGGUCCGGCGAGUUACGCUUACUGGCAAGGUUAAGCACUUCAGGUGCGGAGCCGUAGGGAAACCAAGUCUUAAGAGGGCCUUAAGUCAGUAGGAGUAGACCCGAAACCGGGUGAUCUAUCCAUGUCCAGGUUGAAGCUGCCGUAAGAGGUAGUGGAGGACCGAACGCACAUCCGUUGAAAAGGGUGGCGAUGAGGUGUGGAUAGGGGAGAAAUUCCAAUCGAACCCGGAGAUAGCUGGUUCUCCUCGAAAUAGCUUUAGGGCUAGCCUCGUAUUAGUCUAGUGGAGGUAGAGCACUGAAUUUCCUAGGGGGCGUCAAAGCUUACCGAAGAAUAUCAAACUCCGAAUGCCAUAUAGAUGAUGUACGGGAGUCAGACUGCACGAGAUAAGUUGGGCAGUCAAAAGGGAAAGAGCCCAGACCGCCAGCUAAGGUCCCAAAGUGUGUGUUAAGUGGAAAAGGAUGUGGGAUUUCGAAGACAACUAGGAUGUUGGCUCAGAAGCAGCCAUACAUUAAAAGAGUGCGUAAUAGCUCACUAGUCGAGAGGUCCUGCGCCGAAAAUGUCCGGGGCUGAAACACAACACCGAAGCUGCGGAACCCGCAAGGGUUGGUAGAGGAGCAUUCUUAAAGGAACGAAGCAGUACCGAAAGGAGCUGUGGACUUUUAAGAAGAGAGAAUGCCGGAAUGAGUAGCGAGAGUAAGGUGAGAAUCCUUACGGCCGAAUAUCCAAGGUUUCCAGGGUAAAGCUGAUCUGCCCUGGGGAAGUCGGGACCUAAGGCGAGGCCGAGAGGCGUAGCCGAUGGACAACAGGUUGAGAUUCCUGUACUACAGUAUGACAGAACUGUGGGGACGCAGAAGGAGAGCACUACCUGGAAUGGAAUCCAGGGGCAAGCACAGGAGGGGUACGGCUGGAAAAACCGCCGUGCAACCCAAAGGUGUGACGCAUACCGAACUAAAGUAGGGAAAUGUGUGAGCCGGCUGCCGAGAAAAGCCGCUAUUGUUUGUACUGUACCCGUACCGUAAACCGACACAGGUGGAUGAGGAGAGAAUCCUAAGGCCGACGGAAGAAGCAUUGCUAAGGAACUCGGCAAAAUGACCCUGUAACUUCGGGAGAAAGGGUGCCUCGAAAGAGGCCGCAGAGAAUAGGCCCAAGCAACUGUUUAGCAAAAACACAGGUCUAUGCAAAACCGCAAGGUGAAGUAUAUGGGCUGACGCCUGCCCGGUGCUGGAAGGUUAAGGGGAGAUGUCAGGAGACGAAGCAUCGAACUUAAGCCCCAGUAAACGGCGGCCGUAACAAUAACGGUCCUAAGGUAGCGAAAUUCCUUGUCGGGUAAGUUCCGACCCGCACGAA
rnacentral:rRNA from 1 species